rnacentral:rRNA from 1 species
AACGAACGCUGGCGGCAGGCUUAACACAUGCAAGUCGAGCGCCCCGCAAGGGGAGCGGCAGACAGGUGAGUAUCGCGUGGGAAUCUACCCAUCUCUACGGAGUAACGCAUGGAAACGUGUGCUAAUACCGUAUACGUCCUUCGGGAGAAAGAUUUAUCGGAGAUGGAUGAGCCCGCGUUGGAUUAGCUAGUUGGUGGGGUAAAGGCCUACCAAGGCGACGAUCCAUAGCUGGUCUGAGAGGAUGAUCAGCCACACUGGGACUGAGACACGGCCCAGACUCCUACGGGAGGCAGCAGUGGGGAAUAUUGGACAAUGGGCGCAAGCCUGAUCCAGCCAUGCCGCGUGAGUGAUGAAGGCCCUAGGGUUGUAAAGCUCUUUCACCGGUGAAGAUAAUGACGGUAACCGGAGAAGAAGCCCCGGCUAACUUCGUGCCAGCCGCCGCGGUAAAAC